rnacentral:rRNA from 1 species
UACGAAGGGGGCUAGCGUUGUUCGGAAUCACUGGGCGUAAAGCGCACGUAGGCGGAUUGUUAAGUCGGGGGUGAAAUCCUGGAGCUCAACUCCAGAACUGCCUUUGAUACUGGAGAGCUUGAGUCCGGGAGAGGUGAGUGGAACUCCGAGUGUAGAGGUGAAAUUCGUAGAUAUUCGGAAGAACACCAGUGGCGAAGGCGGCUCACUGGCCCGGUACUGACGCUGAUGUGCGAAAGCGUGGGGAGCAAACAGG